rnacentral:rRNA from 1 species
UACAGAGGUCCCGAGCGUUGUUCGGAUUCACUGGGCGUAAAGGGUGCGUAGGCGGCUUAGCAAGUCUGAUGUGAAAUCUCCGGGCCCAACCCGGAAAUGGCAUUAGAAACUGCUGGGCUGGAGGCUUGGAGGGGGAACUGGAAUGCUCGGUGUAGCAGUGAAAUGCGUAGAGAUCGAGCGGAACACCAGUGGCGAAGGCGAGUUCCUGGACAAGACCUGACGCUGAGGCACGAAAGCCGGGGGAGCAAACAGGAUUAGAAACCCCCGUAGUCC